AGUGAACGCUGGCGGUAGGCCUAAUACAUGCAAGUCGAACGGCAGCACAGUAAGAGCUUGCUCUUACGGGUGGCGAGUGGCGGACGAGUGAGGAAUACAUCGGAAUCUACUUUUUCGUGGGGGAUAACGUAGGGAAACUUACGCUAAUACCGCAUACGACCUACGGGUGAAAGCAGGGGAUCUUCGGACCUUGCGCGAUUGAAUGAGCCGAUGUCGGAUUAGCUAGUUGGCGGGGUAAAGGCCCACCAAGGCGACGAUCCGUAGCUGGUCUGAGAGGAUGAUCAGCCACACUGGAACUGAGACACGGUCCAGACUCCUACGGGAGGCAGCAGUGGGGAAUAUUGGACAAUGGGCGCAAGCCUGAUCCAGCCAUACCGCGUGAGUGAAGAAGGCCUUCGGGUUGUAAAGCCCUUUUGUUGGGAAAGAAAAGCAGCAGGUUAAUACCCCGCUGUUCUGACGGUACCCAAAGAAUAAGCACCGGCUAACUUCGUG
rnacentral:rRNA from 1 species